GCCUUCCCCUUCGGGGGACAAAGUGACAGGUGGUGCAUGGUUGUCGUCAGCUCGUGUCGUGAGAUGUUGGGUUAAGUCCCGCAACGAGCGCAACCCUUAAGCUUAGUUGCCAUCAUUAAGUUGGGCACUCUAGGUUGACUGCCGGUGACAAACCGGAGGAAGGUGGGGAUGACGUCAAAUCAUCAUGCCCCUUAUGAUUUGGGCUACACACGUGCUACAAUGGACAAUACAAAGGGCAGCUAAACCGCGAGGUCAUGCAAAUCCCAUAAAGUUGUUCUCAGUUCGGAUUGUAGUCUGCAACUCGACUACAUGAAGCUGGAAUCGCUAGUAAUCGUAGAUCAGCAUGCUACGGUGAAUACGUUCCCGGGUCUUGUACACACCGCCCGUCACACCACGAGAGUUUGUAACACCCGAAGCCGGUGGAGUAACCAUUUAUGGAGCUAGCCGUCGAAGGUGGGACAAAUGAUUGGGGUGAAGUCGUAACAAGGUAGCCGUAUCGGA
rnacentral:rRNA from 1 species